GGGAAACGUCUCCACAUAAUCAAUCCCCUAUUGCUGAGAGUAUCCAUUUGUAACCAGUCGAGCCUUAUGCUUUUGAGCACUUCCAUCUGCAUGAAAUUUGGUCUUGAAAAUCCACUUUAAGCCUAUUGCAUUCUUUCCAUCAGGCAGGUCUGCUAGGUCCCAGGUUGAUUUCUUUUUUAUGGACUCGAGCUCUUCUUUCUUUGCCUUUUGCCACUCCUCUUUCUCUGUUGCCUCCUCAUAAGUUGUAGGAUCU
rnacentral:misc_RNA from 1 species